rnacentral:rRNA from 1 species
GACGAACGCUGGCGGCGUGCUUAACACAUGCAAGUCGAACGGAAAGGCCCUGCUUUUGUGGGGUGCUCGAGUGGCGAACGGGUGAGUAACACGUGAGUAACCUGCCCUUGACUUUGGGAUAACUUCAGGAAACUGGGGCUAAUACCGGAUAGGAGUUCCUGCUGCAUGGUGGGGGUUUGAAGGUUUCGGCGGUUGGGGAUGGACUCGCGGCUUAUCAGCUUGUUGGUGGGGUAGUGGCUUACCAAGGCUUUGACGGGUAGCCGGCCUGAGAGGGUGACCGGCCACAUUGGGACUGAGAUACGGCCCAGACUCCUACGGGAGGCAGCAGUGGGGAAUAGUGCACAAUGGGCGGAAGCCUGAUGCAGCAACGCCGCGUGCGGGAUGACGGCCUGCGGGUUGUAAACCGCUUUCGCCUGUGACGAAGCGUGAGUGACGGUAAUGGGUAAAGAAGCACCGGCUAACUACGUG